rnacentral:rRNA from 1 species
UCAUGCCAAUGGCACUGCCCGGUAGCUAAAUGCGGAAGAGAUAAGUGCUGAAAGCAUCUAAGCACGAAACUUGCCCCAAGAUGAGUUCUCCCUGACUCCUUGAGAGUCCUGAAGGAACGUUGAAGACGACGACGUUGAUAGGCCGGGUGUGUAAGCGCAGCGAUGCGUUGAGCUAACCGGUACUAAUGAACCGUGAGGCUUAACCUU